ensembl:lncRNA
GGGCAGCGCACCGGGAGCGCGCCCGGGGCGGGGCGAAGCCGGGCGGCGCGGAAAAGAUUCCGAAAAAUGAGGGAAACAGGAAGCCCAGAGGUGCCCCUGUAGUUUGGCGAAGGCCUUAGGAGGUCACUUGGAAAUGCCGCUGGCUGAAAUGUUGGUCUUCAGCGAUGUUCAAAGCCUGUGUAUUUCGGCUAGACUCUGGCUUCAGGUCGGUUCCCCCAAAAGGCUCCGAAGCGACCUGAACCAAACAGAAAUGUUGGUCUUCAGCGAUGUUCAAAGCCUGUGUAUUUCCGCUAGACUCUGGCUUCAGGUCGGUUCCCCCAAAAGGCUCCGAAGCGACCUGAACCAAACAGAAAUGUUGGUCUUCAGCGAUGUUCAAAGCCUGUGUAUUUCGGCUAGACUCUGGCUUCAGGUCGGUUCCCCCAAAAGGCUCCGAAGCGACCUGAACCAAACAGUCUUUCUCGGAUUGAGGCAGGAAACCCUGGCUUCCCUGGACUUGUGCAGGGUGGAGUUCGGAGAGGUGUCCGGGCAUCGGGUUCUUAUCAAGAGGGGACCGGGAAAUCGGGGUCCUUCGGAAUGUGGAACCACCCACGAGGC